UAGAGAUCACCAAAUUAUAACUUUACGCUCCAUGUUCUUUGUCCAAUUUAUCAAGGCGAAAUCGAAACUUCAUUGCCCACUGCAAAACAGAGAAACACAUCUCUCGAUUAUCAAACAAAGAAUUAUAUCAAAAAAUAAUACAAAACAAAAUCUUGAUGAGUAAAAGAAGAGUCGAGAGAAGUUUGAUUGUGUGAAUUCUGAGAGCAUAUCCAGAUGUAAAAAAAAAUCAUAUCCUCUCUAGCAACACCUAAGAAUAAAUAACAAAUCAUGAAAUUUAUGCUCUCCGAAUCGAUAAAGAUUGAAACAAAAAGAAUUUACUAGAGAUCACCAAAUGAAAACUAUUGGCUAUGUGCUCUUGUCCAUUUUAUGAACGCAUUCAAGACAUCAAAAUCUCUUAGCCCGCUGCAAAACGGAUAAACGCGUCUCUGGAUUACCAAACAAAGAAUUAUAUCAAAAAAUUAUACAAAACAAAAUCUUGAUGGG
rnacentral:lncRNA from 1 species